AGAAGCAUCCCUGUCUGGUUUACCACUGUUAUCAAGGGAAUAAAGUAUCACUGCUGCCCAACAAGAAGUGUUCAGCACACAGACACAUAAAGAGACUUGAGCCACUGGAGCACAUUGAGGGAGAUUAGAGGACUGAGAGAUACAAUAGGAGGAAGGCGCAUGAUAUCGAGAAAAGAGAACCUGAGUCUUUGAAGUAAUCCCCUCUGACAACUCGUUUUGACACAGAGCUGCCAGGAAUCAUCCAUUCCAAUAAGAAGUGACAGUACUAAGAUUAAACUAUCAUUUCUUUAUGAAGGCUGUGAAGG
rnacentral:lncRNA from 1 species